GACAGCGCGACGUUGCCAUAUGCAUGAUAGAGCAAGGCUAGAGCACGUCUCACUACAACACCCACACAACACUGUACUAACUUGCCACAAACCCAAACAAAGCUAACAAACAGGGCUACAACACAUGGGAAGCUUCAAACGUGUUGAUGGACCAGCUGAGAAAAAGACGUCAGAAAACAGCGUCAGAAACGUGGUGCAGUGAGGAGGAGUACAGCUGGGCUGAUCCCUUUCAAUACCAGAUAAGACGGGGAAUGGACACUGUCCCCAUCAACAUGCCUGGAUAAUGUGUCUAGGAGGGCUGAAAACUAACAAGACAAAGGGCCGUACCACAUCCCUCAUCCAUAGCAGCCCCGACCAGGAGAUGAUGAGGAAGAGGAAGAUGAAAUAUCCAUGAAAUAGAUAAGAGUUUUGUGUAGUUUGUGAAAAUUAGCUUGUCUUUUGUUUGUUUACUCAGUGAAAAUUUCUCUCCUCUCCCUGUGUAGUUUGUGAAAACCAUUUGGCCUUUCGUUCAAAUGAAAUCGGUAUAUUUGAUAUUUUUCAUAGUUUUUCAGGAACAUUGGCACUGUUUGCUCAUCCUGUAUCAAAACAUUUCCUUCUUAUUUAAUAUAUUGUUUGUGAAAUAUUUUUAUUACUUCUUGAGCAAAUUUACUCAAGACAGAAGUACAGAAGACACACAAAUCUAUUAAAAAAUCAUUUGAAAUGAUUUCAGAUUUUUGUCACAUUCUAUACUUUUGCUGUUCAUUGAUAAUAAAUUUCUGUAAAUAAGA